UGGGGAAUUUUGGACAAUGGGCGAAAGCCUGAUCCAGCAAUGCCGCGUGUGUGAAGAAGGCCUUCGGGUUGUAAAGCACUUUUGUCCGGAAAGAAAUCCUUGGCUCUAAUACAGUCGGGGGAUGACGGUACCGGAAGAAUAAGCACCGGCUAACUACGUGCCAGCAGCCGCGGUAAUACGUAGGGUGCAAGCGUUAAUCGGAAUUACUGGGCGUAAAGCGUGCGCAGGCGGUUUGCUAAGACCGAUGUGAAAUCCCCGGGCUCAACCUGGGAACUGCAUUGGUGACUGGCAGGCUAGAGUAUGGCAGAGGGGGGUAGAAUUCCACGUGUAGCAGUGAAAUGCGUAGAGAUGUGGAGGAAUACCGAUGGCGAAGGCAGCCCCCUGGGCCAAAUACUGACGCUCAUGCACGAAAGCGUGGGGGAGCAAACAGGAUUAGAUACCCUGGUAGUCCACGCCCUAAACGAUGUCAACUAGUUGUUGGGGAUUCAUUUCCUUAGUAACGUAGCUAACGCGUGAAGUUGACCGCCUGGGGAGUACGGUCGCAAGAUUAAAACUCAAAUGAAUUGACGGGGUCAUAGCUGUUUCCU
rnacentral:rRNA from 1 species